GGUUAAGCGACUAAGCGUACACGGUGGAUGCCCUGGCAGUCAGAGGCGAUGAAGGACGUGCUAAUCUGCGAUAAGCGCCGGUAAGGUGAUAUGAACCGUUAUAACCGGCGAUUUCCGAAUGGGGAAACCCAGUGUGACUCGUCACACUAUCAUUAACUGAAUCCAUAGGUUAAUGAGGCGAACCGGGGGAACUGAAACAUCUAAGUACCCCGAGGAAAAGAAAUCAACCGAGAUUCCCCCAGUAGCGGCGAGCGAACGGGGAGGAGCCCAGAGCCUGAAUCAGCAUGUGUGUUAGUGGAAGCGUCUGGAAAGGCGCGCGAUACAGGGUGACAGCCCCGUACACAAAAGCGCAUGUGCUGUGAGCUCGAUGAGUAGGGCGGGACACGUGGUAUCCUGUCUGAAUAUGGGGGGACCAUCCUCCAAGGCUAAAUACUCCUGACUGACCGAUAGUGAACCAGUACCGUGAGGGAAAGGCGAAAAGAACCCCGGCGAGGGGAGUGAAAAAGAACCUGAAACCGUGUACGUACAAGCAGUGGGAGCACCCUUUGGGGUGUGACUGCGUACCUUUUGUAUAAUGGGUCAGCGACUUAUAUUCUGUAGCAAGGUUAACCGAAUAGGGGAGCCGGAGGGAAACCGAGUCUUAACCGGGCGUUAAGUUGCAGGGUAUAGACCCGAAACCCGGUGAUCUAGCCAUGGGCAGGUUGAAGGUUGGGUAACACUAACUGGAGGACCGAACCGACUAAUGUUGAAAAAUUAGCGGAUGACCUGUGGCUGGGGGUGAAAGGCCAAUCAAACCGGGAGAUAGCUGGUUCUCCCCGAAAGCUAUUUAGGUAGCGCCUCGUGAAUUCAUCUCCGGGGGUAGAGCACUGUUUCGGCUAGGGGGCCAUCCCGGCUUACCAACCCGAUGCAAACUGCGAAUACCGGAGAAUGUUAUCACGGGAGACACACGGCGGGUGCUAACGUCCGUCGUGAAGAGGGAAACAACCCAGACCGCCAGCUAAGGUCCCAAAGUCAUGGUUAAGUGGGAAACGAUGUGGGAAGGCCCAGACAGCCAGGAUGUUGGCUUAGAAGCAGCCAUCAUUUAAAGAAAGCGUAAUAGCUCACUGGUCGAGUCGGCCUGCGCGGAAGAUGUAACGGGGCUAAACCAUGCACCGAAGCUGCGGCAGCGACGCUGAUGCGUUGUUGGGUAGGGGAGCGUUCUGUAAGCCUGUGAAGGUGGCCUGUGAGGGUUGCUGGAGGUAUCAGAAGUGCGAAUGCUGACAUAAGUAACGAUAAAGCGGGUGAAAAGCCCGCUCGCCGGAAGACCAAGGGUUCCUGUCCAACGUUAAUCGGGGCAGGGUGAGUCGACCCCUAAGGCGAGGCCGAAAGGCGUAGUCGAUGGGAAACGGGUUAAUAUUCCCGUACUUGGUGUUACUGCGAAGGGGGGACGGAGAAGGCUAUGUUGGCCGGGCGACGGUUGUCCCGGUUUAAGCGUGUAGGUGUGUGUUCCAGGUAAAUCCGGUUCACUUUAACACUGAGGCGUGAUGACGAGGCACUACGGUGCUGAAGCAACAAAUGCCCUGCUUCCAGGAAAAGCCUCUAAGCAUCAGGUAACAUCAAAUCGUACCCCAAACCGACACAGGUGGUCAGGUAGAGAAUACCAAGGCGCUUGAGAGAACUCGGGUGAAGGAACUAGGCAAAAUGGUGCCGUAACUUCGGGAGAAGGCACGCUGACAUGUAGGUGAAGUGAUUUACUCACGGAGCUGAAGUCAGUCGAAGAUACCAGCUGGCUGCAACUGUUUAUUAAAAACACAGCACUGUGCAAACACGAAAGUGGACGUAUACGGUGUGACGCCUGCCCGGUGCCGGAAGGUUAAUUGAUGGGGUCAGCGCAAGCGAAGCUCCUGAUCGAAGCCCCGGUAAACGGCGGCCGUAACUAUAACGGUCCUAAGGUAGCGAAAUUCCUUGUCGGGUAAGUUCCGACCUGCACGAAUGGCGUAAUGAUGGCCAGGCUGUCUCCACCCGAGACUCAGUGAAAUUGAACUCGCUGUGAAGAUGCAGUGUACCCGCGGCAAGACGGAAAGACCCCGUGAACCUUUACUAUAGCUUGACACUGAACAUUGAGCCUUGAUGUGUAGGAUAGGUGGGAGGCUUUGAAGUGUGGACGCCAGUCUGCAUGGAGCCGGCCUUGAAAUACCACCCUUUAAUGUUUGAUGUUCUAACGUGGACCCGUGAUCCGGGUUGCGGACAGUGUCUGGUGGGUAGUUUGACUGGGGCGGUCUCCUCCUAAAGAGUAACGGAGGAGCACGAAGGUUGGCUAAUCCUGGUCGGACAUCAGGAGGUUAGUGCAAUGGCAUAAGCCAGCUUGACUGCGAGCGUGACGGCGCGAGCAGGUGCGAAAGCAGGUCAUAGUGAUCCGGUGGUUCUGAAUGGAAGGGCCAUCGCUCAACGGAUAAAAGGUACUCCGGGGAUAACAGGCUGAUACCGCCCAAGAGUUCAUAUCGACGGCGGUGUUUGGCACCUCGAUGUCGGCUCAUCACAUCCUGGGGCUGAAGUAGGUCCCAAGGGUAUGGCUGUUCGCCAUUUAAAGUGGUACGCGAGCUGGGUUUAGAACGUCGUGAGACAGUUCGGUCCCUAUCUGCCGUGGGCGCUGGAGAACUGAGGGGGGCUGCUCCUAGUACGAGAGGACCGGAGUGGACGCAUCACUGGUGUUCGGGUUGUCAUGCCAAUGGCACUGCCCGGUAGCUAAAUGCGGAAGAGAUAAGUGCUGAAAGCAUCUAAGCACGAAACUUGCCCCGAGAUGAGUUCUCCCUGAGACUUAGAGUCUCCUGAAGGAACGUUGAAGACGACGACGUUGAUAGGCCGGGUGUGUAAGCGCAGCGAUGCGUUGAGCUAACCGGUACUAAUGAACCGUGAGGCUUAACCUUAC
rnacentral:rRNA from 1 species